rnacentral:lncRNA from 1 species
GGCUUCUUGGUCUCUUAGGUCUCAAUCUCCAUAAUAGAAGGUUUUGGUGGUGGAGGAUCAAGCAAUUUCAUCUCAGUUGCAAUCCAAAGACCUAGGGACUGGUGAUUCUUUUGAUCAACAAGUGUCCUCUAGUCAGGAUGUAUCUGCUUCUUCCAAAGAGGGUAAGCCUUCUUCUAAUCAUUAUUCAUUUUGUACUUUUAUUAACAUACUCUGCUAGGUAUAGUGACUCAAGAGGGCC